GACGAACGCUGGCGGCGUGCCUAAUACAUGCAAGUCGAACGCAUUUUCUUUCACCGUAGCUUGCUACACCGACAGAAAAUGAGUGGCGAACGGGUGAGUAACACGUUGGUAACCUGCCCAUCAGCGGGGGAUAACACUUGGAAACAGGUGCUAAUACCGCAUAAUUCCAUUUACCGCAUGGUAAAUGGAUGAAAGGCGCUUUUGCGUCACUGAUGGAUGGACCCGCGGUGCAUUAGCUAGUUGGUGGGGUAACGGCCUACCAAGGCUGCGAUGCAUAGCCGACCUGAGAGGGUGAUCGGCCACACUGGGACUGAGACACGGCCCAGACUCCUACGGGAGGCAGCAGUAGGGAAUCUUCGGCAAUGGACGCAAGUCUGACCGAGCAACGCCGCGUGAGUGAAGAAGGUUUUCGGAUCGUAAAACUCUGUUGUUAGAGAAGAACAAGGAUGAGAGUGGAAAGUUCAUCCCUUGACGGUAUCUAACCAGAAAGCCACGGCUAACUACGUG
rnacentral:rRNA from 1 species